UAAGCUACAACACCCAGCCUAGAAUUUUUUUUCCCUUAAGGAUGCUGAAUACAGGGCCCUAAUCUAUUUUGGCUCGUAAGGUCUCUGCUGAAAGGCCUGCUGUUAGUGUGACAGGGUUCCCUUUGUAUCUGACUUUCCCUUUCUUUCUAGCUGCCUUUAAGAUUUUUUCUUUCAUGUUGACCUUGGAGAAUCUGACGACUAUGUGUCUUGGGAAUUGUUGUUCACCAUCUAGUGUAUCUUGCAGGGGUUCUAUGAAUUUUCUGAAUUUGCCUGUUGACCUCUCUAGCAAGGUUGGGGAAAUUUUUGUGGACAACAUCCUCAAAUAUGUUUUCCAAGCUGCUUCCUCUCUCUCCAACUCUUUGAGGAAUGCCAAUGAGUUGUAGGUUUGGUCUCUUUACAUAAUCCCAUAUUUCUCAGAGGUUUUGUUCAUGUUUAAAUUUUUAAAAAAAUUGUUGUCUGCCUGUGUUGGUUUGAAGGAGCAGUCUUUGAGCUCUGAGACUCUUUCCUCGGCUUCAUCUAUUCUGUUAUUAAUGCUUCUGAUUUCAUUAUGAAAUUCCUGUAGUGAAUUUUUCAUUUCUAGAGGUUUAGUUUGAUGCUUUGUUAAAAUUGAUAUGUCAUCUUUCAACUCUUGGAUUGUUUUACUGGUUUUCUUGAUUGGGUUUCAAUCUUCUCCUAUAUCUUUUUGAGCUUCUUUGUCAUCCAGAUUCUGAAUUUUAUGUCUGUCAUUUUAGCCACUUCAAUCUGGUAAGAACUAUUGCUGGGGAGCUAGUGUGGUUGUCUGAGGGUAAGAAGACACCCUGACUUUUAGAGUUGCCAGAAUUCUUGUGCCGGUUCUUUUUCAUCUGUGUGGGCUGAUGUUCCUUUAAUCUUUGAAAUUGUUAUCCUUUGAAUGGGCCUUUUUGCUUUUAUAUUUUUUGAUGCCCUGAAAAGUUUGACUGUGGUAUAAGUUGGGUGUAGUUGACUGGCUUCAUUUCUGGAUGCUUUCAGGAGGCCAGGGCUCAGCUCAGCACUCCUGAGCUUCAUGCUCCAACUAUGGGGUGCUGGGACCAGGUCUGCAGCUUUGUUUUUGGCCCCUCAAGGUCAAGCACCUGCUAUGCUUGAGGUGCCAAGGUGUUCCCAAUUUGCUAGAAGCAAAUUGGGAACCCCCCAAUGGCGGCUGCCAGAAAAGCACUCUAGCAGGGUCUCCUGAAGACAGCAGAAACUUGAUUGGUGAAUUCCCAUCCACUCUGCCAUUCGAUAUCUUUUAAGUAGAGAAUUUAGGUCAUUCAUAUUCAACAUUAGUAUUGAGAUUUGAGGCACUAUUCUAUUCAUCAUGCUAUCUGUUGCCUGAAUACCUUGUGUUUUUUUCACUGUAUUAUUGAUAUACAGAUCCUGUGAAAUUGAUGCUUUAAGGAGGUUCUGUUUUGGCAUAUUUCAAGGAUCUGUUUCAAGAUUUGAGCUCCUUUUAGCAGUUCUUGUAGUGCUGGCUUGGUAGUGGCAAAUUCUAUCAUCAUUUGUUUGUCUGGAAAAGACUGUAUCUUUCAUUUAUAAAACUUUAUUUCACUGGAUACAAAAUUCUUGGCCGAUAAUUGUUUUGUUUCAGGAGGCUAACAAUAGGACCUCAAUCCCUUCUAGCUUGUAGAAUUUCUGCUGAGAAAUUUGCUGUUAAUCUGAUAGGUUUUCCUUUAUAGGUUACCUGAUACUUUUGCCUCAUAGCUCUUAAGAUUCUUUUCUUUGUCUUCACUUUAAAUAACUUGAUGACUAUGUGCCUAGGCAAUAGUCUUUGUCAUAAAUGUCUCAGGUGUUCUUUGAGCUUCUUGUAUUUGGAUGUCUAGAUCUCUAGCAAGGCUGGGGAAAUUUUCCUUGAUUAUACCCUCAAAUAUGUUUUCCAAACUUUUAGAUUUCUCUUCUUCCUUGGGAACACCAAUUAUUCUUAGGUUUGGGCAUUUAACAUAGUCCCAAACUUUUCGGAGGCUUUGUUCAUUUUUUAAAAUUAUUUUUAAUCCAUCUUUGAAGCAUUGGGUUAACUCAAAGGCCUUGUCUUUGAGCUCAGAAGUUCUUUCUUUGGCUUGUUAGAUUCUAUUGCUGAGACUUUCCAAUACAUCUUACGCUUCUCUAAGCUUGUCCUUGAUUUCCAGAAGUUGUGAUUGUUUUUUAUUUGUGCUGUCUAUUUCACUGAAGAUUUUUUUCUUUCAUAUCCAGUGUAAUGUUUUUGAUUUCUUUAAGUUGAACUUCACUUUUCUCUGGUGCCUCCUUGAAUAGCAUAAUAAUUGAGCUUCUGAAUUCCUUUUCUGGCAAUUCAACGAUUUCAUCUUGAUUUGGAUCCAUGGCUGCUGAGCUGGUGUGAUCUUUUGGGGGUGUUAAAGAACCUUGUUUUGUCAUAUUACCAGAAUUGUUUUUCUGGUUCAUUCUCAUUUGGGUAGACUAUGUCAGGCAAAAGAUCUGGGACUUAAGGGUUACUGUUCAGAUUCUUUUGUCCCACGGAGUGCUCCUUUGACAUGGUGUUCUUCUCCUUCCCCUGGGAAUGAGGCUUCUUGAGAGCUGAACUGCAGUGAUUGUUUGUGGUCUUCUGGGUCUAGCGACCCAGCAGAGCUGCUGGGCUCUGGGCUGGUGCUGCGGAGUGUCUGCAAAGAGUCCUGUGAUAUGAACUGUCUUCAGGCCUUUCAGCCCUGGAUACCAGCACCUGCUCCAGUGGAGGUAGCAGGGGAGUGAAGUGGACUCUGUGAGGGUCCUUGGUUCUAUUUUUGUUUAGUGUGCUGGUUUUGUAUUGGCUGGCCUCCAGCCAGGAGGUGGUGCUUUCGAGAGUGCAUCAGUUGCAGUACCACAGGGAGGAUGCAAACUUGCCCUAGGGAUGCCUGAGCCCAAGGAUGAAAACAGAGAAGUAAUUAAUGGCAGCUUUCCUGGGCCAGAAGAAUAAAUAAGGAAUUAUCUUACAAACAGCAAAUAAACCACAGCAACCAUGAAAUUAGAAAUUUGGUAAAACAUGUUGCAGAAGAACCAGGAAACACAUUGCAAUUGAGCCUGCUGGGUGCUGCUGCAAGUUUGGGGGUGAACAGGAGAAUCAGGUUCUUGUAGAACUGGGCAGAGUGGCUCACACCUACAAUCCCCUAGGAGGGAAGGACAAAGGCAUCCAUAUCACCUGGCCACAGUGGUUGUGGUGGAAGCUGUAGCACUGAAGAGAUGCAGCCCCAUGGAAGAUGCUGCCAAGAGAGGGAGACAGAGCUAUGUCUGGUGUCUCCCUUCCUCCUUACCUGGUGCCUCCCUCCUCCUGUCCUCCUGUCUCCCUUCAGAUGAAGGAACUGAUGCUGAGACUUGCACUCUACCAUAGGCGGAAGCACCCACCACCCUGUUCCCAGCCCUGGAAGGGCAAGGAAUGAAUCUGAGGCAAAUAGGGCCGGCACUGGCAGUCUGCUCGAUUUUCCCUCAGAGCAUUUAUCUUCCUUGACAUAUUUACAAUUUUUUGUCUAUUUUUGGUUUCUCUAACUUGACUAGAAUGUAAGAUCCACAAGGCUUGGGCUUUGCUCUUUUGUUCACUAUGUCCAUAGCUCCUAUAACAGUGCCUAAAACAUAGUAGGCAAUCAAUAGAUAUUCUUUGGAUAAACAAAUAUGCCUCAACAUUGAGUCUAACUUACAGCAGACAUUGAAUAAAUAUCUAUUGAAUGAAUGAGACUAACAAUUUACUGCAAAAGCAGUUCUUAUGUGAAAUAUGACAGGGUUGACAUCUUAACUGAAAUCCAUCUUGAGAGAUUUUUUUUAACCCACCGAGAUUUCUGAGAACACAUUUAUUUGAAGAACCUUAUAUUUUAUGAUGCAUUUUUAUAUGUGAAUUUUUUGAAACCCUACUAUCUUAUUUCCUGAGGGGUUUUAGACUCAGCUAUUCUUCAUUUCAUUUUUAUACAUUUGUGCAGCUGAACACUUCCUACUUUAUUCUUUUUGUUUCUAAGUUCCUAAAAAUAGUUCAGAAAAUCCAAAAUUAUGAACUCAAUUCAUCCAAAAAAAUGAACAAAUCAAAUAACUUUGAAAAUAAAUGCUUUCACUAUUUAUUACUAACAAAAUUGAACACUAUAAUCCAGAAAAAUUGAGCAAAAAUAAUUUAUUAAUCUCAAGAUUAAAACCAAAUAUGGCUUUAUGAUUGUAUUAGUCCAUUUUCACACUGCUAUAAAGAUACUACCCAAGACUGGGUAAUUUACAAACAAAGAAGGUUUAAUUGACUCACAAUUCUGCAGGGCUGGGGAGGCCUCAGGAAACUUACAAUCAUGGUGGAAUGGAAAGCAGGCACCGUCUUUACAAGGUGUCAGGAGAGAGGGAGAGCAGGGGAAACCACCACUUAUAAAACCAUAAGAUCUCGUGGGAACUCACUCACUCUCAUGAGAAUAGCAUGGAGAAAGCCGCCCCCAUGAUCCAAUCACCUCCCAUCAGGUCCCUCCGUUGACAUGUGGGCAUUAUGAUUCUGAUUACAAUUGGAGAUGAGAUUUGGGUGGGGACACAGCCAAACCAUAUUGGUCAAUUAAGCGAUAAAUACUAUAAAAAUUAUAAAUAGUGGUCAAACUGAAACAUUUCUCUGUUUCAGAAACUUUUCACUUUAAGAAAGUCUUAAAUUCAUUGUUGAUUACCUUGUUCACAUUUUCUCGACUGAUUUGUAUCGAUAAAUCUGGAUUUUGGUUUCCUU